AUUGAACGCUGGCGGAAUGCUUUACACAUGCAAGUCGAGCGGCAGCGCGGGGGGCAACCCUGGCGGCGAGCGGCGAACGGGUGAGUAACAUAUCGGAACGUACCCUGUCGUGGGGGAUAACUAUCCGAAAGGAUAGCUAAUACCGCAUACGACCUGAGGGUGAAAGACGGGGGAGUCGCAAGACCUCGCGCGAUAGGAGCGGCCGAUAUCGGAUUAGCUAGUUGGUGGGGUAAAGGGACUCACCAAGGCGACGAUCCGUAGCUGGUCUGAGAGGACGACCAGCCACACUGGAACUGAGACACGGUCCAGACUCCUACGGGAGGGCAGCAGUGGGGAAGUUUUGUACGAAUAGGG
rnacentral:rRNA from 1 species